rnacentral:lncRNA from 1 species
GAUGUAAAUUAUGUGGAGCAGAAUGAAGAUGUAAAUAGUGUAAUGCCCUCUUUUAUUUUUGGGAAUUUGAAGGAUGUAUCCUUGAUUCAAGCACCCAAAAAAAGUGUGCGGAGGGAUUCUCCUCAAUCACUCAAUGAAGGUGUGCCUGAAGAGGUUCCAGCAACUGCAAGUGUCCCUGUAACAAAUGAAAAUUAUGUUACAGAGAGUGUUUCAGGAAAAGCACAGUUUCCAGCAGUAUUUAAUUCAUCGAGUAAAACUGAAAUUUUGGAUGCAGAGCCACUAGUGUUUGAAACUCCAAAAUCAAAUAAAAAAAACGAAAUGCUUCAAAGCGCAAAGAAAGAUGAAUCUUUGAGCGAUUCUGAGCUCAUUAUAGAUGCAAUGAAAAGGAAAAGUAGUGUAAACAUUGAGUCUGAAGCACCAAAAUCUCUAAAAAAAAAGCAACACUAUCAGUCUGACAGCGAACUGAGCGUCAGCCACGCCCUAAACCGAUGUGUCCCUGAUAAAGUCUUGCUACAGGCCGUUAUGAAAUCACAGCUGUUGCGAGCAUCAGGCUCAAGCACUGGAGCCAAUUCCAGUUUCUCUCAGUCUGGCCAUCAGGAGACUUAUUGUGGUGACGAUUCUAAUAGUGCCCAAGGCUCCGGAGCUAAAGUCUCUGAUAGUUCAAGUAGCUCUACAAAUAAUCAUCGAGCAAGUCAUGCUGUAUUUGAGUCGUUUGGUGAAGCAUCUCCUUUGACCUCUGCUGAAACAUACAGAACUGAAGCAUUUAAAGAGAAUCGCCGUUCUGCAGUAGAAAAACGAAAAUCUAAGUUGACAACAGUGCCCUCUCUUGAACUUAUCUCAGAAGUACCUGAGACACACCCUGCUGACUGUUCGCACGAGCUUGCCCAAGAUACAAACAGCAGAGUCUUUGAACAACCCGAAUUGGAGUCUAGUCCAUCUGUCAGACGCAGUUCAUUUUUACCGAAAGUGUUCACAAGUGUCGAUUCUCUUAUUCAGGAUGAAGCAAUGUCAAAUACCAAUAUUCCACCUAAAAAAAGGCGCAGUAUUCUCAACUUAUCAAAGCUGAAAAAGCCAAGGGAAAGCGCACCAUUCAAGUCCCGGUCGCGGUGUUCAAAUUAUAAGUUCGCUGAGUUAGAUGUUUGUAAUUCAGAUGAGUCAUUCCAAGAAGAUUUAAUCACUGAUAGGACUAAACAAAAAGCGGCUAACAUUCCAGACACUCGUUUACCUGAAACCCCAAUCAAAACUUCUGAGACUGUCCAUCCUUCAGAGUUGAAUGAAAGUGCUACAGAGGAAAAACUCAACGACUCUAUUGCCUCAAGAGUAAGUCAGCGCCGAACGAGACGUCAAUCCAUGGAAAGUUAUGCCUCCAGUACUGAUUUUGAAGGGUCGAACUUAAAUGAAAGCAUUGUCAGCACGGCUAACUCUGUUAAGGCAAGAUCAUCAUCUAUUGAGAGUCUUCCAGAAUCAGGAACGACCGAUGUGUCUGUAAGCUCACAAAGCUCUCGCUAUAAGAGAGUUUCUAUCCGAAAUCGCUCAAUGUCGCUCUACACUACUAAAGAAUUGCAGAAAAACUCACUUAAACGUCGUUAUAGUGAAUUAGAUGUAAUAGAGUCAGAAGAGGAAGGUGGUCUAAAGGAUUCAAGCCCAGCAGCCGAAACCACUGGUGAACUUCUCAUUACCACUCGUAGAGCGCGAAGCAGGAACUCCAAUCAGAGUGAAAUUUCAGAAAGUAAGAAGUUUUUGCCUGAUGUCAAAGAGGACGAAUUGGUAGUUGAAAAGCCUGGAUCAAGAAUUUCAAAAGCAAGAAGUAAGAAGGGAGUGAAUAGCACAAAAAGCAAUAGAAAUGAGUCCAUCAGAGGCUCAACAGAAUCCGAGCAGCAGGCAAGUCGUCCCACCAUGCGCACUGAAACAUCCAUCAGCAAUGUAAGAACUCAGGAACCAGAAGAAUAUGUAACAAAUCGCAGACUGACUCGUCGCCAAAAUGCAUUGCUGAAGAAAAUGGAAGAGUCAAGCUCUACCUCUCUGGCUGUUCAUUCCCCUGUGACAAGAUCCCGGAGGUCUGUCGACCGUAAUACAACACCAACACCUAUCAAAUCAACCCGGAGAACUCGAAAUACUUCACCUAGCAACUCUAUAGCCUCUCAAGGUUCAAGAGGCAGUUCAAGAAUUUGA